UACGAAGGGGGCUAGCGUUGCUCGGAAUCACUGGGCGUAAAGCGCACGUAGGCGGCUUUCUAAGUCGGGGGUGAAAUCCUGGAGCUCAACUCCAGAACUGCCUUCGAUACUGGAGAGCUUGAGUCCGGGAGAGGUGAGUGGAAUUCCUAGUGUAGAGGUGAAAUUCGUAGAUAUUAGGAAGAACACCAGUGGCGAAGGCGGCUCACUGGUCCGGUACUGACGCUGAGGUGCGAAAGCGUGGGGAGCAAACAGG
rnacentral:rRNA from 1 species